AUUGAACGCUGGCGGCAGGCCUAACACAUGCAAGUCGAGCGGAACGGCGGACGGGUGGGUAAGGCCUAGGCAUCUGCCUGGUAGUGGGGGAUAGCUUCCGGAAACGGGCGCUAAUUCCUCAUGCUAUCAGGUGGGCCUGGGUCGGAGUAGCUAGUUGGUGGGGUAACGGCCUACCAAGGCGACGAUCCGUAACUGGUCUGAGAGGAUGAUCAGUCACACUGGAACGGAGACACGGGCCAGACUCCUACGGGAGGCAGCAGUGGGGAAUAUUGGACAAUGGGCGAAAGCCUGAUGCAGCCAUGCCGCGUGUGUGAAGAAGGUCUUCGGAUUGUAAAGCACUUUAAGUUGGGAGGCGUUACCAACAGAAGAAGCACCGGCUAACUCCGUGCCAGCAGCCGCGGUAAUUC
rnacentral:rRNA from 1 species